UCUGUGGUAUAUGGAAGUUCCCAGGCUAGGGACUGAAUCCGAGCCACAGCUGGGACCUACACUACUUCCGGCCCCCAGAACUGUGAGCGGUGGAUUUCUGUUACUGCCAAGCCGUCCAGGCCCUGGUAGGUGGGUUCAGCAGCUUGAAUGGAUUAACAUCACCCUCUACACCUGCCUUUAAAAAAGCGCCUUCCUGAAGCGGACACCUGUCAUUUGUGUAUGUCCCAAACCUCUGACUGUACUCUCCACACAGUUAACGUCUUAUAGGAUAAUUUCCUUCUUUCCAACAGAGAAUGAGCCAAUGAAACCAAACCCUCCUGGUCUGGCCUCUGUGCUGCUGUGAUGCAGUUGUGUGACUUAGGUUCUGCCAGGCAGAAGGGCUCCCUCGAGGCUUUGCUGGGAGCUAGUGGUGUGGCUCUGAGCAGCACCAGGGGAGGGGCCCCCAACUCACCAGCCUCCGGACCCUUGAUUGGCUGACUCUGCUGUGUCGUUCUGGGAAUCACCUGGGAAGCUCCACCCACUUCUUGAUCCAUCCCAGGAUUCUGAGAACGCUUCGUCAAAAUCCCUUCCUGCCUCACCAGCUAGCGGCCAUUCGUAUGCAUCCCCCUGAUCAGCACAUCUCCUGUCACCCACAACAGGGGAAAGUGAAGGACAAUCUCUCUUGUUCUCUCAUGCCGCCUGUUGGACAGUCUUACUCAAUUAACCCGCACUAUAGGCCUUGCAGCUCUGGGUCUCGUAGCUGUUCGUCUCUCGUCCUUCAUAGAUUUGUGUGCCUGUGCCCUCCUCACAAACCUCUCUCCAGUGUUCCUUCUCAUCCCGUGAUGGGUCAUUUUGACAGCGCUUGGCAUUCCCGGCCCCACCAUUUUCAGACGUAACCAUUCUGCAGUGAUCAGCCCAGGUGAGCUGCCACUGUGCAGAAGCACGGAUCUGAAUCACUAACACACCACGGCUGAUGAGUUGCCUUGGUUUUUCUCUUCCUUCCACCCACAACACCCAUCAGUGCUCACAUGGGCCGAACCCAGCAGGGGGCCAGAUAGCAAAGGGGGCCGGAGGAAAAGUGGCUGGUGGGGCCAGUCCAGUUGCAGCACAGAGUCUGGAAAAAGCAAAACCAGACCUGGGUCUGUGGAGAUGACAGCUGCACAGAAGCUCACAGGAGGCAGCAGGACAACCGGGAAUGGGCUCAACUAGAACAUGAUGCAGGGAGGACGCCACGCCGUGUUCAUAAGAUACAGAGUUUGGUUGGUUUGGUUUGGAGUGUCAGUGAGCUGUCUCUCUAAGUCAGAAACCAAUACAUCUCUGCAUCUACACAUGAGUUUUCAUGUUGGAAAAUAAUGGCAGAGUUCCCGUCGUGGCUUAGCAAUUAACAAAUCCCACUAGCAUCCAUGAGGACUCAGGUUCAAUCCCUCACCUUGCUCAGUGGAUUAAGGGUCUGGCGUUGCCUGGAGCUGCGAUGUAGGUUGCAGACGCAGCUCGGAUCUGGUGUUGCUGUGGCUGUGGCACAGGCUGGCGGCUACAGCUCUGAUUGGACCCCUAGCCUGGGAACUUCCAUAUGCCUUGGGUGUGGCCCUAAAAAAGGCAAAAAAAGGGAAAGAAAAGAAUGGAGAUGCAUAGAGAAAAGUGCUCCUGUAAUCCAGGACGCCACGGCCACUGCCAAACACAGGAAAUGCAUGAUCAUUCCUGGCACAGAAAUCAGGAAGAAACAUCAAAGACAAAACUGGCGGGGAGGGAGGUUUCAAAUGUGCACACUCAUCUCCUAGCAUCAUUGUGAUAAAAAUGGUCCAUGACACACCCCUGACUGAACCUGCUGACAGAUCCAGGUCUCGGAAGAUUGAGAAAGCAGCGGGAGGGGCUGCUGUUCUCGACUGACUUCCAAUUAAGAAGGAGGAAGUGAUGGGAGAAGUGGAAGUGAUAGACACAGUGAGAGAAGAUGCGCACGUCAUCCUUGUGUCCACGACGGCCAGGAGAAAGAAACCCAGUCUGGUGAGAAUCUCGUAGUUCAAAGCAGAGAUUUCCAAGAAUUGAAAGGUGAGCUGGAAUCUAAAAAAACCAUCCUCCUUCUCAAUUCUUGAAAAUGGGGUUCUGACCACACAGAUGAGUAAUUGAUGAAGAGGUAAGAGAACCACAACACAGACAACGAUGUAGUGAAGUCACAGCUAAAAAGGACCACGGUCCCAGGAAGGCUUCCAGAGACAGAGGUGAAUUCCAAACUGUGAGACAGAGCUAAAUGUUCAUGUCCACAAGCCUAACACCCAGGAAAGGGUGUCUUGCAAACAAAGCUAAAGAAAACCAUAGAGGAACUUUUUUUAAAAAUUAAUUAAUUAAUUUAUUUAUUUAUUUAGUCUUUUUGCCAUUUCUUGGACCCCUCCCGCGGCAUACAGAGAUUCCCAGGCUAGGGGUCGAAUCGGAGCUGUAGCCGCCGGCCUAUGCCAGAGCCAUAGCAACGCGGGAUCCGAGCCAUGGUUGCGACCUACACCACAGCUCACAGCAACGCCCGAUCCUUAACCCACUGAGCAAGGCCAGGGAUCGAACCCGCAACCUCAUGGUUCCUAGUUGGAUUCGUUAACCACUGCACCACGAUGGGAACUACCAAGGAAGUUUUGAAAUGUGUUUCUGGAACAAGAUAAGGUUGACUGGCAGGAGAAUAAAAGAAAAGCAAACCUACUCAACUCCUGUCCAUUGGUAUGUUUAACACCCCUGUCAGGAGCAAAUAAAGAAAGAAGUAAGACUUUAUAGCUGGGGAAGAGGAGGCCAGAAUUAAUAAACCGAACUGGAUCCUCAAGUCCACAGCACAGUUGUAAGAGGGUACCUGGGUAUUCCAUGGGCAUUUCCAUUAUCCAACCUGGAGGGGUCACAUGCACUGUUGGUGGGAAUGUAUAUUGGUACAACCGCUAUGGAAAACAGCUUGGAGGUGCCUCAGAGAACUAAAUAUAGAACUGCCAUAUGAUCCAGCAAUCCCAAUCCUGGGCCUAUAUCUGGACAGUAAUUAAAAAGAUGCACGCACCCCUUAUGUUCAUUGAAGCACUAUUCACAAUAGCUAAGACAUGGAAGCAAUCUGAAUGUCCAUCAACAGAUCAAUGGAUUAAGAAGAUGUGGUACAUAUACAAAAUGGAAUAUGACUCAGCCAUGAAAAAGAAUGAAAUAAUGCCAUUUGCAACAACACGGAUGCAACUAGAGAUUCUCAUGCUAAGUGAAGUCAGUCAGAAAGAGAAAGACAAAUACCAGAGGAUUCCACUCGUAUGUGGAAUCUAAAAUAUGGCACAAAUGAUCCUAUUUACGAAACAGAAACAGACUCAGAGACAUGGAGAACAGACUUGUGGUUGCCAAGAGGAGGGCAGAGAGAGUGAGAUGGACAGGGAGUUUGGGGUUGGUAGAUGCAAACUAUUACAUUUAGAAUGAAUAAGCAAUGAGGUCCUGCUAUACAGCACAGGAAACUAUAUCCAGUCUCUUGAGAUAAACUGUGAUGGAAGGUAAUAUAUGAAAAAGAAUGUGUAUAUAUAUGUGUGUGUGUGUGUAUAUAUGACAGGGUCACUUUACAGCAGAAAUUGGCACAACAUUGUAAAUAAACUAUACCUUAAUAAAAAAUUUAAAAAAUUAAAAAGAAAACAAAAUGCAUGAGAUGAAUGGCAGGUUUUUUUUUUUUUUUUUUUUUUUUCCCCUUUUCUAGGGCCGCUCCUGCGGCAUAUGGAGGUUCCCAGGCUAGGGGUCGAAUCGGAGCUGUAGCCACCGGCCUACACCAGAGCCACAGCAACUUGGGAUCCGAGCCAUGGCUGCGACCUACACCACAGCUCACGGCAACGCCGGAUCCUUAACCCACUGAGCAAGGCCAGGGAUUGAACCCGCAACUCAUGGUUCCUAGUCGGAUUCAUUAACCACUGC
rnacentral:lncRNA from 1 species